rnacentral:rRNA from 1 species
UACGGAGGGUGCAAGCGUUAUUCGGAAUUAUUGGGCGUAAAGGGCGCGUAGGCGGCCAUGCGUGUCUUCCGUGAAAUCCCUCGGCUUAACUGAGGACGUGCGGAAGAAACUGCAAGGCUUGAGUCCGGGAGAGGGGGGUGGAAUUCCCAGUGUAGCGGUGAAAUGCGUAGAUAUUGGGAGGAACACCGGUGGCGAAGGCGGCCCCCUGGACCGGUACUGACGCUGAGGCGCGAAAGCGUAGGUAGCAAACGGG